GGGUUCGGGUCCCAAUCGGUUUUUCGGUUUAAAAGUACUUGAUUUUUACCUAUUUUAUAACCAAAACAUGACUAAAAUUGGUUCUUUAGUUUUAAAAUAUCUGAUUUGUACCUAUUUUGUAACCAAAACUUAAGUAAAAUCGAUUCAAAAAUAAGGAACAUAAAAGAAAACUAAAUAAAUAAAAACAUAAAACGAAAACCAAGUUCUCAUGAAAUGAGAAACAUUGUUUAACGAAAACAAAAUCAAAA
rnacentral:lncRNA from 1 species